AUUGGGAUUUGCCCCUUCCAUUUAUCUUCUUCCUCUUCAGUCCUCACCACUCUCUGGCUGUCUUCAAAGACUCAACGGCUGCAAUCAGACCAAACUAUUGGAAGAAAGUUUUACGAGUUUGUUUUAGUUUUAUUUAUUUUCUUAAAUAUUGUGGAACAUAUUCUGAUUAUUAAAUUAUUAUGAUUGAUUGAUGAUGAUGAUGCGUUAUAACAAUCCUACCAAAUUAGAGUAUAACUAAUUAACACACUAUUUUGUUCUUCUUCUUCCUGCUGAAUUGUGCUUCGAACUUCAUUUUGUGUAUAUAUAUAUAUAUGUUCGAUUUUGUGUUCACCGUCUUCAUUUUAUUCGUGUUUAGGCUUGUCCAUGGCUACAUCAUUGUCAUCUCCCAUCCCACCACCAAAGCGGGAGUACAAUGUCUUCUUGAAUUUUAGCGUCCUUAAUACCCGUGAGUCCAUUAUUAGUCAUCUACGAGUUGAUUUGGAGCGAAACGGAUUUCACACAUUUAGAGACGACGAAAACUUGGAUAAAGGAUAGAGUAUUGGGCCAGGACUAUUGGAAGCAAUUGAGGAUUCAUCAAUGUCUCUUGUUGUGCUCUCAAAGAACUACUUUGCAUCGGCAUGGUGUCUGCGUGAAUUCGAGAAAAUUAUGGAGUGUAGAAAGAAGUCCCGGCAUUUUGUUUUGCCCAUCUUUUAUAAGAUAGAGCCAUCUGAUAUACGACACUUAAACGAAAGUAUUGCAGAAACCUUGGCCAAACACGAAGAACUUCCCAAGAUGGAGAAUUGGAGAGCAAUUCUGAUUGAAGUUGCCAAUUUUAGUGGUAUCGUCUCCAAUCACUAUAGGGAUGAAGCAAGCUUGGUUAAGCAUAUUGUUAAAGAGGUUCAAGGAAAAUUAAAUCUAUGCAUAGAUUUAAAUGUUGCAACCCAUCCAGUUGGAAUAUAGCCUCGUUUACAAAAGCUACUCAAGGAGUUGUGCUUGGAGUCAUCUGAUGAUGUUCGCAUUAUGGCAAUAUGGGGAGUCGGUGGACUAGGUAAGACAACAAUUGCCAAAGCUGCAUAUAAUCGUAUUCAUAGUAGGUUUGAAGGUUGCAGCUUUGUGGCCAAUGUUAGAGAAAAAUGGGAGGAAUCAAAUGGGGAUUUUCUUGCUUUGCAAAAUCAAAUUCGAUCUGAUAUCUCGAAGAAUAAAAGUUAUAAAAUUAGAAACUCUCAUGAGGGAAUUGAAUUCUUAAAACACAGAGCUUUCCACGGAAGAAAAGUGCUCCUAGUUCUUGAUGAUGUAAAUAGUGUGGAAUAGUUGACGGCACUAGCCAUCGAUCCAAGGUUCCUCUAUUGUGGGAGUAGAAUUAUUGUAACUACUAGAAAUAUUUCUUCCUUGAACUCGCUUCAGUCAAUGCUUACCAAAUAUGAGCUUGAGCUGUUGAAUAAGGAUGAAUCUCUUCGACUCUUCAAUUUGCAUGCCUUCAACCAACGUAAUCCUUUAGAGGGCUUUAUGGAGUUUUCAAAAAUAGUGGUGGAUUAUGCAGGGGGUAUUCCAUUAGUUCUUGAAGUUUUGGGUUGCUAUUUGAAUGGAAAAAAUGAUCAAUCUGUAUGGAGAAGUGCAAUUACAAAAUUGGAAAACAUUCCUCAUGAUGACACUUUCAAAGAAAACUAAGGAUAAGUUUUGAUUCCCUAGAUGGAGAAAAGAAAAAAUUGUUCCUAGAAAUAGCAUGCUUCUUUGUUGGUGAGAGUAAAAAUUUUACCAUUCAAGUAUUGGAAGACUAUGAGAUUUUCCCAGAAGAUGGAUUUCGACGCCCGGAGGAUCUAUGUCUCCUAAAAUGUGGUCAAGGAUUUCAGAUUGUAAUGCAUAAUAUUUUCAAGCAGAUGGGUAGAGAGAUAGUUCGACAAGAGAAUGUUGAUUAUCUAGGAAAACGCAGUAGAUUGUGGAAUUACAAAGAUGCCCUUAAAGUGUUGAAAAAUUGUGAGGGAACUGAAGCAGUUGAGGGCCUUAUCUUGUUGCACAAUGGAAAAGAUAUUAAAGUGAAAGCAAAAACAUUUCAAAAGAUGACAAGACUUGAGGGUGCUUCAUCUCGAUCAUGUUCUACUUAGUGCUAGCUACAAGCUUUUGUUUAGAAAUUCUGGCUACAAGCAUUUGUCCAGAAAUUUAGUAUGGCUACGUUGGCAUCACUUUGAUCUCAGUGUUUUGCCAUCACAAUUAUACUUGGAGAAUUUGGUUGCUCUCGACCUCUAAGUUACAGCAACAUAAAACAACUUUGGAGGGCAACUAAGGUUUUAAAGAAACUACAAGUUCUUAACCUAAGGUAUUGUCACAACUUAACCACACUUCCUAAUCUCUCUGGGCUCUCCAAUCUUGAGAGGAUGGAUCUUUCGGAGUGUGUAAGAUUGCAAGAGGUGGAUAAGUCUAUUGGACAUCUCCACAGAUUACGUUUUCUAAGCCUCCAUAAUUGCCACAGCCUUAGGAAGCUUCCGUCGGAGAUGGCCGACUUGAAAUCUCUUGAACUAUUAAUGAUCUCUCAGUUCCCAAGCCAGUGUCAAACAUUGACAAAAAAGAGUACAAGUUCUCUUGGGUUGUCACUAGACUUUAUACAGGGCUUAAGGUCUUUAUGUCUAUUGAAUAUUAGAGGCCACUCUUUCACUCAAUUACCUGAUAAAAUUGGGAGUAUGACCUCAUUAACCUCUUUAUGUAUUUCGGGAUUUAAAAUUGCUUGUUUGCCAGAGAGUAUAUGCAACCUUACAAAAUUGGAGACUUUAAUGAUUGCAUCCUGCCGUAUGUCAAAUCUGCCAAGUGAACUUGGGAGAUUGAACCGAUUGCGUUAUUUGGGUCUUCAAGGAAAUAAUUUUUGUAGCCUACCAGAGAGCAUCGGUGACCUUACUAACUUACAGAGUCUCGACUUGCAUGAUUGUGAAAGACUCCAAUCACUCCCCAAGCUUUCAGGUCAUGGAGGUUGGUACAGUUACAUCGAUGUUUCCAAUUGCACGUCAUUAGAAAGCAUAUCACUCGAAUCAAUGAUUUACUAUGAGCUCAUGUCAUGUUACGAUUGUCCUAAGCUAUACGAGAAGUAUUCCCUUGACAAAAUUGGAACAAGUUUUCUCAAUUACAAGGGUGCACUUUCAUUUAGAAUUAGUCAUUCAUGGGGGGGGCACGUUUCCUGAUUGGUUCCAUGAGACCACAAACUCAUAUUAUACUUUCAAGGUGCCACCUCUUGUUGGAGUCGGAAAUAAACAUUUUAUUCGAUGCAUCUUUUCAUAUGGACUUGGAAGAAGGCCAUGAAAUAGAAAUUUCUUGCACAUCUAAUAAGAGUGUGGUUUUGAAGAAAUGAGGAAUUCAUGUCAGUUAUUACACAAUCGAUGACACAAGAUUGAAGAUUGAUUGAAUCAAGAAGUUGAUGAAAUCUAUUGUAAUUUGUAGCAUAUACAUAUAUAUAUAUAUCUAACCAUUUAGUAGUGUUUCUUAAAUUUUUAUUCCCCAUUUGGUAGUUGCUGGCAUGUAAUAAAAUAUAUUUUACAAGCAUUUAUAAUAAAUAUUAACAGGGUUAAUGUCA